rnacentral:rRNA from 1 species
GACGAACGCUGGCGGCGUGCCUAAUACAUGCAAGUUGAGCGCUGAAGGUUGGUACUUGUACCAACUGGAUGAGCAGCGAACGGGUGAGUAACGCGUGGGGAAUCUGCCUUUGAGCGGGGGACAACAUUUGGAAACGAAUGCUAAUACCGCAUAAAAACUUUAAACACAAGUUUUAAGUUUGAAAGAUGCAAUUGCAUCACUCAAAGAUGAUCCCGCGUUGUAUUAGCUAGUUGGUGAGGUAAAGGCUCACCACGGCGAUGAUACAUAGCCGACCUGAGAGGGUGAUCGGCCACAUUGGGACUGAGACACGGCCCAAACUCCUACGGGAGGCAGCAGUAGGGAAUCUUCGGCAAUGGACGAAAGUCUGACCGAGCAACGCCGCGUGAGUGAAGAAGGUUUUCGGAUCGUAAAACUCUGUUGGUAGAGAAGAACGUUGGUGAGAGUGGAAAGCUCAUCAAGUGACGGUAACUACCCAGAAAGGGACGGCAAACUACGU